rnacentral:rRNA from 1 species
UCGAGAAUUUUUGACAAUGGGGGCAACCCUGAUCGAGCGACGCCGCGUGGAGGAUGAAGGUCUUCGGGUUGUAAACUCCUGUCAUUUGAGAACAAGGCGCACGUAUUAACUGUACGUGCGUUGAUAGUAUCAGAAGAGGAAGAGACGGCUAACUCUGUGCCAGCAGCCGCGGUAAUACAGAGGUCUCAAGCGUUGUUCGGAUUCAUUGGGCGUAAAGGGUGCGUAGGUGGCGCGCUAAGUCAGGUGUGAAAUCUCGGGGCUUAACUCCGAAACUGCAUUUGAUACUGGCGUGCUUGAGGACUGGAGAGGAGACUGGAAUUCAUGGUGUAGCAGUGAAAUGCGUAGAGAUCAUGAGGAAGACCAGUGGCGAAGGCGGGUCUCUGGACAGUUCCUGACACUGAGGCACGAAGGCCAGGGGAGCAAACGGGAUUAGAUACCCCCGUAGUCC